UACGUAGGGUGCAAGCGUUGUCCGGAAUUAUUGGGCGUAAAGAGCUCGUAGGUGGUUUGUCGCGUUGUCCGUGAAAACUCGCAGCUCAAUUGCGGGCGUGCGGGCGAUACGGGCAGACUGGAGUACUGCAGGGGAGACUGGAAUUCCUGGUGUAGCGGUGGAAUGCGCAGAUAUCAGGAGGAACACCGGUGGCGAAGGCGGGUCUCUGGGCAGUAACUGACGCUGAGGAGCGAAAGCGUGGGGAGCGAACAGG
rnacentral:rRNA from 1 species